UACAGAGGGUGCAAGCGUUAAUCGGAAUUACUGGGCGUAAAGCGUGCGUAGACGGUUAUUUAAGUCAGGUGUGAAAGCCCCGGGCUCAACCUGGGAAUUGCAUUUGAGACUGAAUAGCUAGGGUGCGGAAGAGGGAAGCGGAAUUUCCGGUGUAGCGGUGAAAUGCGUAGAUAUCGGAAGGAACACCAGUGGCGAAAGCGGCUUCCUGGUCCAGCACCGACGUCAGGCACGAAAGCGUGGGAGCAAACAGG
rnacentral:rRNA from 1 species